AGGUAAGCAGGGGGAGCUGGGAUCCGAACCCAGGCCCCCUAGACCAUUAACCACUGGAUGCCAUAAGAGCCCAGAUACAGUCAGAUGAUGGGGGGAAAACACUCAACAAAGUAUUUCAGGUCAGAAGGCCCCAAGAAGAAAGGAAGGACUUCUUAGGCCAGUGGGGCAGGUGGUCUGGAAGGUGCUGAGGAGGGGACAUUUGAGCUCGGACUCUGAAGAGGCUAUGGGGGAAGACUCAUGUAGGGAGAGAGAAGAGCUAGUGCAAAGGCCCUGGGGUGGGAACCAGCUCAGCCUGCAGGAGAAAUUGCCUGAAGUCCAGCGUGGCUGUGGAGCCCUGAGUGAGGGGAGAGCGGAGGGAGAAGAGGUGGGAGAUAUCUGGACUCACCUUGGUCAGUGCUGGGAACCCAGAGAGUAAUUUGACCCCUCCCGCCCUCAAGGAGCUCUCAGUGUGAGGAUGGAAGCCAAGGACAGCCCAGUGGGAUCAACGGUUAUAGUGGAGGGUGAGGGUUGGCUUCCCAGGGCAGGGACCACUGCAUGUCAAUCAUUCUUUUUUGUUUUUGCAGAUGAAGUCUCAUUCUGUCACCCAAGCUGGAGCCUGGAAUGCAAUAGUGUGAUCCUGGUCCACUGCAAACUCAACCUCCUGAGUUCAAGUGAUUCUCCUUAGUAGCUGGGAUUACAAGUGUGCACCACCAUGCCUGGCCAAUUUUUGUGUUUUUAAUAGAGAUGAAGUUUCACCAUGUUGGCCAGGCUGGUCUCAAACUCCUGACCUCAGGUGAUCCGUCCGCGUCUGCCUCCUAAAGUGCUGGGAUUACAGGCAUGAGCCACCAUGCCCGGCCCACAUGUCAAUCAUUCUUUUCUGCACUCGCUCUGUCUUGGUCCUACUCUGUGUCUAACCCUGUGACAAGUCCUGAUGACGCAGACUUGAAGACAUGAAACAACCCCUGCCCUCUGAGACCUUACAACCAAGUGAGCAAGACAGCCACCAAUCCCCAUAAGUGAUGGUAUAGAGGAUUCAGUUCCCCGGGGUCAAGGAUGGCUUCCUGGAGGAGGUGACCUCUGACCAGUGCCUGGAUCAAGUAUUGAUGCAGAAAAACAGGCAGGUGGAAGGGACAGCUUGGGCAAAUUCGUGGAGGUGGUGUGGGAGUGUAGAAAAACUCCCAUCCUUCAGCAUCUGUUUGUGGAUGCUUCCAUAUGCCAAGUUGUGGUCUGGGGGCUGAGGAGAGUGAGAAAUAGUCCCUGCUUUCUAGCCCUGAAGAUCUGGUUGGGGCACUGACAAGUGAACAGACCUAAGCAAUUGAUUGUAAUAAACCCCAUACUGGGGGCAGCCCAGGCCAGACACAGAGGACUGGGGAGAGAGGGCCACAGGAAGGGUUUCCUGGAAGCUUGGGUUUUAGGAAGAAUAGGAAUUCUCCGGAUAAGGUGUGACUACCACUCCCGUCCACACUCAUACUCCCUCACACUCAUUACUCACACAUCCGUGCACCCACACAGCUGGUAUUUCAUCCCAUGCAGUUCAACCCAGCAAGCUGCCUUUGUCCUGUCUUUGUGUCUCUGAGUCUGUGCCCCAUCUCAUUGGGAGAUGACAGCAAGAGUCUAUCUUUGAAGUCCUUUGGGAAUGUGUGGCUUGGGCUGUAUCUCCUCCUGGCCUCCUAAACUGGGCUUGCCUGUAGACCACCUGCAUUGGCAUGCCAACUCUGCUACUUAUUGACUAGGACGAAGAGAAAAAAGCAAAGUUGAAGGCGAUUGCUUUGGUCUGUUGCUCGGUGGUGAAAUGAAGAUGAAUGUGGCAUUGAGAAGACAGGCAAAGAAAGCACCAAUGUGGUCAGGACCAAGACAGUCAGGAAAUCUGGGCCUCCUUGCAGCAGUGGUGGCUGAGUGGUCCAGUUCUAUUGAGGAAACCCAAAUGGAAACCUCUGUGUGUAGGGAAAUGCUUCUGGGGAAAGGCUGGCUUUCCUGAUUGAAGGGGUCUUCCGGCUGUGAAACAUCUCGCCGCUGUGAGAGAAGGCCAAGACAGCUGCAGCAUGGGAGCCCUGACAUCUGUGAACAACUGAACCAACCCCAGCAAGAGCUAAUAUCUGGAAUUCUUGGAAGGUGAAGAAUUUUCUAGACACCAAAGAAAGCCCUGGUAUAUAUAUAUAUAUUUUAUUGUUUUGAGAUGGAGUCUUGCUCUGUCACCCAUGCUGGAGUACAGUGUCACAAUCUCAGCUCACUGCAACUGCCACCUCCUGGGUUCAAGUGAUUCUUCUGCCUCAGCCUCCCAAGUAUCUGGAAUUACAGGUGUCCACUACCACGCCUGGUUAAUUUUUGUAUUUUUAGUGGAGUGAGGGGUUUCACCAUGUUGGCCAGGCUGGUCUCAAACUCCUGACCUCAAGUGAUCCACCUGCCUUGGCCUCUCGAAGUGCUGGGAUUACAAAUGUGAGCCACUGUGCCCAGCCUCUGACAUCUUUGAGCAGCUGAACCACACCAGCUGUGGUCAACCUCCAGACUCUGUGUAAUUGGAGGAAAUUUAACCUCUGUUUAUGUUCCUAUUAUUGUUUUGUUAUUUUGCAGUUUAACAGAUUAGACCCAAUGGGAUUAUUUUGAGAGUUGGAGCCAUCUGGGAAGCAUGGCUCAACUGGUUUGGGUGGGUGAAGACACAGGGGUUUCCCAACAACCUGAGUCAAGCUCUGUGGAUAUAGCUGGGAGAUUGUGUCAAAGAGGCUGAGGGUUAAUUCCCUGCUUCCACCCUUGGGGAAGAAUGACAUCCAGUCAGGCAUGGGGAACAUUCAUCCUUGGGAAGAAGAAUGACAUCCUUCUUAACUCUGAUUAGGCAGGUUCAACAAACAAGCUUUCUCUAAAAUAAAAUGAUGUUGAUGAUGAUGGUGGUGGUGAUGAUUAUGAUGGUGAUAAUGGUGAUGGUGGUAAUGAUGAUGGUAAUAAUGAUGGUAGUGGUGGUGAUGAUGGAAGUGAUGAUGACACUGAUAAUGGU